GGUGUAGCAAUGGCCGCUGUAUUGGCGACAACGACAUACCGAGAAUUGUUUUCAGGAACUCGUUUCAGAAAUAUGUACCUUAAAGAAUAUAAUGUGUUUAGAUUAUAUAAGAGCCAAAUAAACUGACAGAGCUGGGUAUCACAGUGAGAAAAAGAAGACCAAACUCUAGACAUGAAUGAUACACAGGCUGGAUAGCUUCAUCAGGAUUGACUGGAAUUUUAAGUACUUGGAUUUGUUGAUCCACUACUUUUUUCAUCACGCAAAAAUGUAAAUGAAUUUCUUUGGCCAUCAAUCAUGCUAAAUUUUGGUGAAAGUGCAAUAUGUGUAAAAGGGUUUACUAUAAAUGAGCUACAAAUCUACAACAUCAAAAACUUAUGGAUUUAGUUUAAAGCAUAUCUGCCAGUCAG